AGCGGAGGAAAAGAAACCAACAGGGAUUGCCUCAGUAGCGGCGAGUGAAGCGGCAAGAGCUCAGAUUUGAAAUCGCAGCACCAUGCUGCGAGUUGUAGAUUGCAGGUGGGAGAGUCUGCGUAGGCCGGUGUCGAAGUCCCUUGGAACAGGGCGCCACUGAGGGUGAGAGCCCCGUGCGAUGCCACGCUCUACGUUUUGUACUCCCCUCUGACGAGUCGAGUUGUUUGGGAAUGCAGCUCUAAGUGGGUGGUAAAUUCCAUCUAAGGCUAAAUACUGGCGAGAGACCGAUAGCGAACAAGUACUGUGAAGGAAAGAUGAAAAGCACUUUGAAAAGAGAGUGAAACAGCACGUGAAAUUGUUGAAAGGGAAGGGUAUUGGGCCCGACAUGGGAAUCGCGCACCGCUGCUCCUUGUGGGCGGCGCUCUGGGCUUUUCCUGGGCCAGCAUCGGUUCUUGCUGCAGGAGAAGGGGCUGUGGAAUGUGGCUGCCGCGCUUUGCCGGGGCAGUGUUAUAGCCACUGGGCCAGAUGCUGCGUGUGGGGACCGAGGACUGCGGCCGCAAGGUCUCGGAUGCUGGCACAACGGCGCAAUACCGCCC
rnacentral:rRNA from 1 species